UAGGGAAUAUUGCUCAAUGGGGGAAACCCUGAAGCAGCAACGCCGCGUGGAGGAUGAAGGUUUUCGGAUUGUAAACUCCUUUUGUUAGAGAAGAUAAUGACGGUAUCUAACGAAUAAGCACCGGCUAACUCCGUGCCAGCAGCC
rnacentral:rRNA from 1 species